UUACAAAUCAUAGUACGAUAGCUUGCAUGCCUUAUAUCCAAUUGCUUUCCGUUCACUACAAUGGCAUUCCAUAUAUCAUUUUCACAUUACCCACAAAAUUAUAUAUAUGUAUAUAUAAAGGUGCUCCUUAAUGGUAUGUGCUAAUGUUUGUCAUUGAUUCCCUAAAUAAGAUUAGAAAUUAUUUUCUAUUGCAUCUUUCUUUGUGACACUUACUAAUAAUAAAGAGUGGAGCUCACAUCAUUAAAUGAUGUUAAUCCCAUGCCCAGCUAGUAUGACAUUGACAACAUUUCUUUUCACCCCAACAUGCCACGAAUAUAUUUUACGCUGAAGUGCUACACCCUUCAAACUCCAGUCCCAUUUUUUUUAUUUUUUGGAAAAAUUACUUAACAAUAGAGUGGGGAAAAAAAAUUACAAAAACAUGUAGAGUGUAAGUGAGCUUGUGCUGAAGUGCAAAUAACUUGUACCCUUCUAUGUUUGUGUAAUUUAUUUUUGUCUACUUCACUGUUGAAUUGUUUCCCCUUUCUUUUUUACCAUACUGCAAAUAAUUCGACUACGUUAUUAUAUAAAAUACUUUCUCCUACAUGCUUAUCAAUUUUGCAAAUCUUUGGUAGAUUUAUCUUCCUCAAUGUCUAAACAUACUUCUAAGAUUUUGAAACCACAACAGUUCUAAAAAAAAUAAUAAAAAAUAACCACAAUAUUGCUUCUUUUUUUCUUUUUUUUCUUUCUUUCUUUUGAUAACUCACAAGAUUGCUUUUAGGUACAAACAGAGAGAGAGAGAGAGAGAGAGAGAGAGAGAGGGGUUUCAAAUUAAGUUAUUCGGUGAAAAAAAUCCAACAAUUCAUUGUCAUUAUCAGCCGCUACAA